rnacentral:sRNA from 1 species
GCCGGGGCUAGGGUAGCACCCGAAAAGCGGAAAUCCACGCCGCCUGCCCCCGGCCAUGACCACGUGG